rnacentral:rRNA from 1 species
CCUACGGGCGGCUGCAGUGGGGAAUAUUGGACAAUGGGGGCAACCCUGAUCCAGCCAUGCCGCGUGUGUGAAGAAGGCCCUCGGGUUGUAAAGCACUUUCAGUGAGGAAGAACGCCUGGUGGUUAAUACCCAUCAGGAAAGACAUCACUCACAGAAGAAGCACCGACUAACUCCGUGCCAGCAGCCGCGGUAAUACGGAGGGUGCGAGCGUUAAUCGGAAUUACUGGGCGUAAAGCGCGCGUAGGUGGCUUGAUAAGCCGGUUGUGAAAGCCCCGGGCUCAACCUGGGAACGGCAUCCGGAACUGUCAAGCUAGAGUGCAGGAGAGGAAGGUAGAACUCCCGGUGUAGCGGUGAAAUGCGUAGAGAUCGGGAGGAAUACCAGUGGCGAAGGCGGCCUUCUGGACUGACACUGACACUGAGGUGCGAAAGCGUGGGUAGCAAACAGGAUUAGAUACCCCGGUAGUC